GAGUAACGCGUAUGCAACCUACCUAUCAGAGGGGAAUAACCCGGCGAAAGUCGGACUAAUACCGUAUAAAACAGGGGCACCGCAUGGUGAUAUUGUUAAAGAAAUUCGCUGAUAGAUGGGCAUGCGUUCCAUUAGGUAGUUGGUGAGGUAACGGCUCACCAAGCCGACGAUGGAUAGGGAACUGAGAGGUUGGUCCCCCACACUGGUACUGAGACACGGACCAGACUCCUACGGGAGGCAGCAGUGAGGAAUAUUGGUCAAUGGGCGGGAGCCUGAACCAGCCAAGUCGCGUGAAAAGGAAGAAGGAUCUAUGGUUCGUAAACUUCUUUUGCAGGGGAAUAAAGUGCAGGACGUGUCCUGUUUUGUAUGUACCCUGAGAAUAAGGAUCGGCUAACUCCGUGCCAGCAGCGGC
rnacentral:rRNA from 1 species